GAUGCAGGAAAACUAUCUGCACCAGAGACAAGGAGGAAGACCAUAUGUACGACUUGUUCUAUACAAGACACCGUCUCCACAAAAGAGCCUGUCAGCACAGAGUAAGCCACAUCAUACAAGAAAUGAUUGCAGAGGCUUUUUGAAAGCAGACGGUCACAUUCAGAUUGAAGA